rnacentral:rRNA from 1 species
AGUGAACGCUGGCGGUAGGCCUAACACAUGCAAGUCGAACGGCAGCACAGUAAGAGCUUGCUCUUACGGGUGGCGAGUGGCGGACGGGUGAGGAAUACAUCGGAAUCUACUUUUUCGUGGGGGAUAACGUAGGGAAACUUACGCUAAUACCGCAUACUACCUACGGGUGAAAGCAGGGGAUCUUCGGACUUUGCGCGAUUGAAUGAGCCGAUGUCGGAUUAGCUAGUUGGCGGGGUAACGUCCCACCAUGGCGACGAUCCGUAGCGGGUCUGAGAGGAUGAUCGGCCACACGGGAACGGAGACAGCGUCCAGACGCCUACGGGAGGCAGAAGAAGGGAAUCUUCCGCAAUGGGAGAAAGCCUGACGGAGAAACGCCGAGUGAGUGAUGAAGGUCUUCGGAUCGUAAAACUCUGUUAUGAGGGAAGAACAUAUGUGGAAGGAACUGUGCACAUCUUGACGGUACCUAAUAAGAAAGACAAGGCUAACUACGUG